rnacentral:lncRNA from 1 species
UCUCUUUGUGCACCCGCCCACACGGUUUGCCGUGUUUUCACCCUUCUUUGUUCUCCACCGGUCUGGGCAGGGUCUGAGGACUCCGGAGAGCAAGGCAUGGGUCCGCCUCGUGCCGCAGGUAUCCUGGGGUCCUGUGGGGAGGGCUCUGCGGUGUGGGGCCGGGUAUGAUGACCCACAUUUACAGACUAGAGUUUCUGAUGUCCACGUGACGCCACUCCUUGUAACUGACCCAGGCCGGGGUGGGGGCUGCAGGCCGGGGUCUCUACGACCUGUGCUCAUUCAAUGAUCUCUUCCAGGUUCCUGGCCCACGCCAGCCGUACCCAGUAGCACAAUGGGAUUUGAGGACACACGCCAGCUGCCUACACCUGAAGAAAGGGUGAGCUCUGAGGACUUCACAGGGGCCCCAUCCCCUCACCUAGAUGAGGGCUAACCUUGGAAUCCAGACAAAGGUGGAAGUGACCUAGAUGUGACCUGAAUGAGCUAAUCAUCUAAUGAGAGCCAGCCCUUUGUCCUGCCCACAUGAAGGUGGGUGGUUAGCUCACUUUUCAGGGUAAUAAAGCAGUAAAGGCGGGGUGGAGGGGUUGUUGAAGGCUUUGUAUGAUGUCACUAGGGCCUGUAAAGUUAGCACAAUGAACCCGCUGUGCAGAUUGUAAAGCUGACCUUGUUGGAAUAUCCUGGUUUUAGAAACACAUAAAUCAGCUUUGUGUUUGCUGUUCCCCUGCUGAAAAUGUUCUUCUGAAUUUUCAGGGCUUUGCUGCUACGCACUGACAAGUUGGACGGCUUUUUAUUGCUUUGUUGCCAGUUAUCUGAACAUGAGAGGCUGUAAGGUGUAAUCUGCGAGCCCUGCGCCCAGACUGAACCAGGGCCUCCCUUGAACAUGAGUAUUAGACAAAUGAAAUAAGAACUUAUCUUGCCCAGACUAUAUAAUGGCUUGGAAAUGCAUAGUUUCCUGAACGAUCUCAAUAAAAUACUUUUAAAAGUACU